rnacentral:rRNA from 1 species
UUUUGCUUCCUGUUGUAGAUGCCAUUGUAGCACGUGUGUAGCCCAACACGUAAGGGCCAUGAGGACUUGACGUCAUCCCCACCUUCCUCCAGCUUAUCACUGGCAGUUCUUUCAGAGUGCCCAACUUAAUGAUGGCAACUAAAAGUGAGGGUUGCGCUCGUUGCGGGACUUAACCCAACAUCUCACGACACGAGCUGACGACAGCCAUGCAGCACCUGUGUUUCGUCCGGCCGAACCGAAAACUCUAAUCUCUUAGAGUCGCGACGAACAUGUCAAGUGUUGGUAAGGUUCUGCGCGUAUCUUCGAAUUAAACCACAUGCUCCACUACUUGUGCGGGUCCCCGUCAAUUCAUUUGAGUUUUAACCUUGCGGUCGUACUCCCCAGGCGGUGUGUUUAUCGGUUUCCCUGCGACACUGAAAAUAAAUUUCCAACGUCUAACACACAUCGUUUACGGCAUGGACUACGAGGGUAUCUAAUCCUCUUCGCUACCCAUGCUUUCGUUCCUCAGUGUCAGUAAUGAUCCAGAAAGCUGCCUUCGCAAUUGGUAUUCUUUCUAAUAUCUACGAAUUUCACCUCUACACUAGAAAUUCUGCUUUCCUCUAUCAUACUCUAGCUGAAAAGUUUUGAUGGCAGUUCCAGAGUUAAGCUCUGGGAUUUCACCACCAACUUUUUCAACCACCUACGAACUCUUUAAGCCCAGUAAUUCCGAACUACGCUAGGUCCCUUCGUAUUACCGCGGCUGCUGGCACGAAGUUAGCCGGACCUUCUUAUUCGGGUACAGUCAUUUUCUUCCCCGACGAAAGAGCUUUACAACCCAAAGGCCUUCUUCACU